rnacentral:rRNA from 1 species
UAGGGAAUCUUCCACAAUGGGCGAAAGCCUGAUGGAGCAACGCCGCGUGUGUGAUGAAGGGUUUCGGCUCGUAAAACACUGUUGUAAGAGAAGAAUGACAUUGAGAGUAACUGUUCAAUGUGUGACGGUAUCUUACCAGAAAGGAACGGCUAAAUACGUGCCAG